CAGCCGCCACGGGAAUACGAAGGGGGCUAGCGUUGUUCGGAAUUACUGGGCGUAAAGCGCACGUAGGCUGACAUUUAAGUCAGGGGUGAAAUCCCGGGGCUCAACCCCGGAACUGCCUUUGAUACUGGGUAUCUCGAGUCCGGAAGAGGUGAGUGGAAUUCCGAGUGUAGAGGUGAAAUUCGUAGAUAUUCGGAGGAACACCAGUGGCGAAGGCGGCUCACUGGUCCGGUACUGACGCUGAGGUGCGAAAGCGUGGGGAGCAAACAGGAUUAGAUACCCCGGUAGUCCCUGUCUCUUAUAC
rnacentral:rRNA from 1 species